rnacentral:rRNA from 1 species
AGAGUUUGAUCCUGGCUCAGGAUGAACGCUAGCUACAGGCUUAACACAUGCAAGUCGAGGGGAAACGAUAUUGGAAGCUUGCUUCCGAUAGUCGUCGACCGGCGCACGGGUGAGUAACGCGUAUCCAACCUGCCCAUCACUUGGGGAUAACCUUGCGAAAGUAAGACUAAUACCCGAUGAUAUCUCUAGACGACAUCUGAAAGGGAUUAAAGAUUUAUCGGUGAUGGAUGGGGAUGCGUCUGAUUAGCUUGUUGGCGGGGUAACGGCCCACCAAGGCAACGAUCAGUAGGGGUUCUGAGGGGAAGGUCCCCCACAUUGGAACUGAGACACGGUCCAAACUCCUACGGGAGGCAGCAGUGAGGAAUAUUGGUCAAUGGGCGAGAGCCUGAACCAGCCAAGUAGCGUGCAGGACGACGGCUCUAUGGGUUGUAAACUGCUUUUAUAAGGGAAUAAAGUGAGUCUCGUGAGACUUUUUGCAUGUACCUUAUGAAUAAGGACCGGCUAAUUCCGUGCCAGCAGCCGCGGUAAUACGGAAGGUCCGGGCGUUAUCCGGAUUUAUUGGGUUUAAAGGGAGCGUAGGCCGGAGAUUAAGCGUGUUGUGAAAUGUAGGCGCUCAACGUCUGCACUGCAGCGCGAACUGGUUUCCUUGAGUACGCACAAAGUGGGCGGAAUUCGUGGUGUAGCGGUGAAAUGCUUAGAUAUCACGAAGAACUCCGAUUGCGAAGGCAGCUCACUGGAGCGCAACUGACGCUGAAGCUCGAAAGUGCGGGUAUCGAACAGGAUUAGAUACCCUGGUAGUCCGCACGGUAAACGAUGGAUGCCCGCUGUUGGUCUGAAUAGGUCAGCGGCCAAGCGAAAGCAUUAAGCAUCCCACCUGGGGAGUACGCCGGCAACGGUGAAACUCAAAGGAAUUGACGGGGGCCCGCACAAGCGGAGGAACAUGUGGUUUAAUUCGAUGAUACGCGAGGAACCUUACCCGGGCUCAAACGUCGGGCGAAUCAUCCUGAAAGGGGUGAGCCAGCAAUGGCGGCCGACGAGGUGCUGCAUGGUUGUAGUCAGCUCGUGCCGUGAGGUGUCGGCUUAAGUGCCAUAACGAGCGCAACCCCCGCGUCCAGUUGCCAGCGAUUGAAGUCGGGCACUCUGGACGGACUGCCGGCGCAAGCCGCGAGGAAGGCGGGGAUGACGUCAAAUCAGCACGGCCCUUACGUCCGGGGCGACACACGUGUUACAAUGGCGUGGAACAGAGGGAAGCCACCUGGCGGCAGGGAGCGGAACCCGAAAACACGUCUCAGUUCGGAUUGGAGUCUGCAACUCGACUCCAUGAAGCUGGAUUCGCUAGUAAUCGCGCAUCAGCCAUGGCGCGGUGAAUACGUUCCCGGGCCUUGUACACACCGCCCGUCAAGCCAUGGGAGCCGGGAGUGCCUGAAGGCCGUAACCGCAAGGAGCGGUCAAGGGUAAGACUGGUGACUGGGGCUAAGUCGUAACAAGGUA